GGACAACCUGCCCUUAGGACGGGGAUAAACCCGGGAAACUGGGUAUAAUACCCGAUAGGUCUCGAUUGCUGGAAUGCAUCGAGAUUUAAAGCUCCGGCGCCUAAGGAUGGGUCUGCGGCCUAUCAGGUAGUAGUGGGUGUAGCGUACCUACUAGCCUACGACGGGUACGGGUUGUGAGAGCAAGAGCCCGGAGAUGGAUUCUGAGACACGAAUCCAGGCCCUACGGGGUGCAGCAGGCGCGAAAACUUUACAAUGCUGGCAACAGCGAUAAGGGAACCUCGAGUGCCAGGUUACAAAUCUGGCUGUCGAGAUGCCUAAAAAGCAUUUCAUAGCAAGGGCCGGGCAAGACCGGUGCCAGCCGCCGCGGUAACACCGGCGGCUCGAGUGGUAACCGUUAUUAUUGGGUCUAAAGGGUCUGUAGCCGGCCGGAUAAGUCUCUUGAGAAAUCUGGCAGCUUAACUGUCAGGCUUUCAGGAGAUACUGUCUGGCUCGAGGCCGGGAGAGGUGAGAGGUACUUCAGGGGUAGGGGUGAAAUCUUGUAAUCCUUGAAGGACCACCAGUGGCGAAGGCGUCUCACCAGAACGGACCUGACGGCAAGGGGCGAAAGCUAGGGGCACGAACCGGAUUAGAUACCCGGGUAGUCCUAGCCGUAAACGAUACUCGCUAGGUGUCGGCCACGGUGCGACCGUUGUCGGUGCCGUAGGGAAGCCGUGAAGCGAGCCACCUGGGAAGUACGGCCGCAAGGCUGAAACUUAA
rnacentral:rRNA from 1 species